rnacentral:lncRNA from 10 species
CUCAGUAAUGGUGGGUUUUAAACAUUUAAUUUUUACUGUUAAACAACCAGUAUACCAAAAAGUGAAUAGGAUGUUCGUAUGUUAAGAACAAAGUAAUCUGUCAUGUAACUGGCCAUCCAGAUCAAGAUAACAUUGCCUGAACCCCCUGUAAUUUUAGCCUGACUUUUUUCAGAGACCCUCUCACUCGCCCCUUUACCACACUCUGCCAUUUGCCUUCUCCUUUGACCUUUUGAAUUUGGCUCGUGAUGCAUUUAGCGUAACCGAUUAUGUAGUGAGAAAAACAGCGUGGUCCAGUGCUGAAAUAGGAAAUAUUUCAGUUGAACACCACAAAACCACCAUUUGUUCAUGUGUUUAUUCAACAAACUUUAGCUCCUUCACAGCGGGCAUUACACUUGCUCUUGUGAAUACAGAGGGGACUGACAGUGGACAGGACAUGCAUGAAAGAAUCUUCAUAGUCAACAAUGAAGGAGAGGAAGUUUUUUUGAAAGGGCCAACUUCAUUUGUGGGGAGAAAUCACCAUAGAGGAAGGCAGACCUGAGACUAGCCUUGCAGGAGGGGUGAGGAUGCUCAGGAGAGGUCCAGAUCCGAGGGGACUGAUACAGACCAGGCCUUGGGGUGCAUGGAUGGAAAUUAUGGGAUGGUUCUCAAGAGAUACAGGUUCAGUGGCUGAUUGAUGGGAUGUGGAGGAGAAAAUGAUCCCAAGGUCGUCUAUUAGAGGGAGACUCAGCCAGCUUGGAGGAGGAGAGGCAUGAGCAUGCUGUAUUUGAGAUGCCUGCAAGACAGGCAUGGUGCUUAGAUGUAUAGGUAAUCUGGACCUUGGGGGAGAGUCUGGGAUGGACCUAGAAAUUUAGGAGUCACUACCAUAUAAGUGACCAUUUGUUCAACAGGAAUGUGUAAGAUUUUUCAGGAAGAUCAUCUUAAGUGAGAAAGGGAACCCAGGAGAACACCACGCCAUUAGUGGCAGGUGGUGGGCAACAUAAAAUUUGAGAGUGAGGAGGGAUGGUCAGAGACGUAGGACCACCAGGAGAGAGUCAGGCCACAGACACCGAGGGAGGGCUGGGUGGCGAGGAGGAGGAAGCAGUGAAGUGCUGUGUCUGUCUACAUCCAUCUAACACAGGCAUCCUCUUUGGAGCCAUGGAGAUGCAAGUGUGUUUCCUACCCUGUCUGCUCAGCUUUUUCUGUUAUGUGGGACAACAGUGUGAAAGACCUGCCUGGACUGGCCUGCAAGGCCCACAGGGGCCUGAUGCAGGAAGAAAUCAUGGCAAAGACAGGGUUCCAGUGGAGGGAAUCUAGAGUAUGGGUGUUUUCAGGCUACACCCUGGGAACCCUGUCGUAGCCUGGAGGGCAACAGCUAAUAAAAACAAGACCAAGCUACUCUCCGUUUGCCUACUGUUGGCACAGGAUGGGGGGUGGAAUCGUAUGGAGGGUGCAGCCUCAGGCUGGAGAAGCCUCCCUGGGGCCCCUGGCAGGGGAGGGAGUGCCUGUGCAGGCCAGCUCACAGGAUCCCACUACACUGCAGAGCACGGUGUAGCCCCCACCAGCUUUUCCCACUCAAAAGUCAUCAUUUGGCCACCAGACAAAUCGUAGACUGAUCCUGGGGCCGAUGUCCACGGUGCUGGUUGGUACCCACAGUUAGCGUCAGCAGGGCAUCAGGAGGUCAGUUGCAGCCAGGGCCACUAUUGGGAGCAGACAGCCUGCUAAACACAAGUUUCCAUCUGUACAACCCAGCGCUCUCUCUGCCAGAGGCCGCGCUGCUUGGUGUUCACAGGAAUGAAAGAUCUUUUUGGUCAGCAUAUACCUCUCAGAAAAGGAUGCUAUUUUGCUUUUUUUUCUGUCUUCCUGAUUUCAAAUACUGGAUUUUAUCCACUGUAAAUUUGAUUACUUCCUACUUUUGGAAAUAACCAGGGUCUCUGAGAAGAGGGCACUUUUAAAAGUGUAAAAACCAUCAUGGAUCCCGAUAAGCCAGCUCUGCCCCUCUCUGGAGGCCCUCAUGGGCAGCCGGGGGCCAGGUCAGGCAGCCUGAGCUGUUUCCUGCUGCCCACUCCUCUCCAAUCUUCCUUGACCCCCUUGGUUCUGUCAUCACUGCCACCCCUGCAGGUUCCACAGGGAGCGUGUGCUUCUGGGCUGGGGUUCCUUCUGUGCACAGCAGAGCAGUGCCCUCACUAUAACUUACAGAAAAUCGGCUCUUAAGAGGGGCUGGUAGAAGAGGACAUUUUGGGGAGAAAGUGAUAAGAAGAAGAGAGUUUGUCCAUCUCCAAAUGCAGAGUUCUGUGAGGGCCUGCCUGCCAGGAGGAACUGCUGGUCUUGGAAGAGCCAUCUACUGCUCAUUACUACAACAUUAGGAACACUCAAUGCUGCUGAGGAUACUGUGAGAAACCUCUAUUCAAAAAUGGUGCCAACCUGCUGUGUGAUGCUGGUAAAGAAUAGAGGGAGGUUAUGCAGUAGAACAAUGUACAAUGAAGUAACCUCCCCACAUGGCUAAUCAUUUCUGUUCUUGGAAAAAUCACAAAUCGGGAAGCUCCAACCUCCAGCUCCUCUUACCUUCCUCCAGCGCAAAGCCUCCCUGGGACAACUCCCCUAGAUCUGGGCAGCCAGAUUGUGCCAAGUCAUCUACUAAGCAGAGACUCAACAGGAAACUGAAGCGCAGCACCAGAAUGGCAUGCGGAGGGAGGGCAGGAAGAAGCUCACGGUAGCUGAUGUCUGGGCGUCCUGACAUGUCUUCUUCUUGGCUUAACUUUAAAGAGAAGCAAAAUUAGGCCUGACCUUGAGGGAUUCCCUCUGACUUUACAUACUGUAAGCACAACACAGGACUUACACCAAGAUGAUUCCAGAUGGAUUGAUCUAAAUGUAGGACUGAAACCAUAAACAUCCUAGAAAUAAGAACAGGUAAAUGCUGAAAAAAUAAUCCUGAGACAUGAGAGUGAAGGUAGAAACUGUUAAUAAUAUUAAACUGAGCAUGGCCCAUGCACCAAGCAAGGUGCCAGUGAGCACUUUAGUCCAGCCCCUCGUCGUGGGCACGCAGCCACACCACCAUGCCCACAAGGACAUGGCUGUCCCAUAUGUCCCACCUUCCAUGGUGAAGCCAGGACUCCAUUUCAGAACAAGCAUCAAAAUGAAAGACAGGUAUAUGUGACUACAUAAACCAUUUAAAAUACUGUAUAACUCCUACCACAGACCAAAAGACAGCUGACAAAUAGGUUAAAAAGUGUGCAACAUAUGACAGGGGCUAAUACAUUGUAUAUUAAAAACAAUCUAUAUG